CCUACGGGUGGCAGCAGUGGGGAAUAUUGGACAAUGGGGGGAACCCUGAUCCGGCCAUGCCGCGUGGGUGAAGAAGGCCCUCGGGUUGUAAAGCACUUUCAGUGAGGAAGAACGCCUGGUGGUUAAUACCCAUCAGGAAAGACAUCACUCACAGAAGAAGCACCGGCUAACUCCGUGCCAGCAGCCGCGGUAAUACGGAGGGUGCGAGCGUUAAUCGGAAUUACUGGGCGUAAAGCGCGCGUAGGUGGCUUGAUAAGCCGGUUGUGAAAGCCCCGGGCUCAACCUGGGAACGGCAUCCGGAACUGUCAAGCUAGAGUGCAGGAGAGGAAGGUAGAAUUCCCGGUGUAGCGGUGAAAUGCGUAGAGAUCGGGAGGAAUACCAGUGGCGAAGGCGGCCUUCUGGACUGACACUGACACUGAGGUGCGAAAGCGUGGGUAGCAAACAGGAUUAGAUACCCGGGUAGUC
rnacentral:rRNA from 1 species